CGUAACCUGCGUUGUACGAGAUCAUGUUGCACAAAAGCCGAAUCCGAUGACUUAAUAUUCGGGGCGUUGAUACUCUCGAAAACGGACCUUGCCAGUAUACGGGAACAUGAAGUUUUUGAGAUGAGGCACCCCACCUUUUGCUGAGGGAUUCAGCCUACGCAACUUUAACGGCAUCUGCGGGCCACAC
rnacentral:other from 1 species